rnacentral:rRNA from 1 species
GUUUAGAGCUGCACCACCUUGAGAAUGCCUGAUCUUGUCUGAUCUCAGACGCUAAACAGAGUUGAGUUUGGUUAGUACUUGGAUGAGAGGGCGCUGGGAAUACCAGGUGCUGUAGUGG